CCUACGGGUGGCAGCAGUGGAGAAUAUUUCACAAUGGGGGAAACCCUGAUGCAGCGACGCCGCGUGAGUGAAGAAGUAAUUCGGUAUGUAAAGCUCUAUCAGCAGGGGAGCAAAUUACGGUACCUGAGUAAGAAGCCGCGGCUACCUCCGUGCCAGCAGCCGCGGUAACACGGAGGGGGCAGGCGUUAUCCGGAUUUACUGGGUGUAACGGGAGCGUAGGCGGUAGUGUAAGUGUGGAGUGAAAGGGGGGGGCUCAACCCCCGGACGGCACUGGAAACUGUACGGCUGGAGUGCAGGAGAGGUAAGUGGAAUUCCUGGUGUAGCGGUGAAAUGCGUAGAUAUUAGGAGGAACACCAGUGGCGAAGGCGGCUUACUGGACUGUAACUGACGUUGAGGCUCGAAAGCGUGGGGAGCAAACAGGAUUAGAUACCCCUGUAGUC
rnacentral:rRNA from 1 species